UAACAAGCAUAAGCUAAAACAAGAUGUACUAAUCCGACGAAUCCAAUAGGACACAUGAUGGCUUGAAUAGUUUUCUCAGACACGUACGAUUGAAAAUUGAUAAAAAGAGAACAGAAAAUAGAAGAUACUGAAUCAAGGUCCACUACUUGGAGGGGGAAAAUAUGGAAGCUAAAUUUUCAAUAUGGAGAACCAGAGUUUGAAGUUUACCCAUGAAAGACUUAAUCCAUAUCUCAGAACGAUUGCAAUUUGCUUAUAUAUAGUGAGAGAUUCUUACAGAAUUCCCAGUGAAAAACCUUCAAUAUAAUAUCAGAAACAUAAGAGCAGAACAAGGAAAAAAAAGAAGAAUACCUUAUGUACAGGACUAACAACAG
rnacentral:misc_RNA from 1 species